GUAAAAAUGUAGGGGGGACCGGUGUUGCCGGUUGAGAUAGUAUCCGUAAAGAUACUGACUCUUGGAACCUGAUCUGGUUAGGACCAGCGUAGGGAACAUAUAAGAUAUUAGA
rnacentral:ncRNA from 2 species